rnacentral:rRNA from 1 species
UACGGAGGGUGCGAGCGUUGUCCGGAAUCAUUGGGCGUAAAGGGCGCGUAGGUGGCCCGGUCAGUUCGUGGUGAAAGCGCGGGGCUCAACUCCGCGUCGGCCAUGAAUACUGCUGGGCUUGAGCACUGUAGAGGCAGGCGGAAUUCCGGGUGUAGCGGUGGAAUGCGUAGAGAUCCGGAAGAACACCGGUGGCGAAGGCGGCCUGCUGGGCAGUGGCUGGACACUGAGGCGCGACAGCGUGGGGAGCAAACAGGG